UACGAAUCGUCCAAACGUUGUUCGGAUUCACUGGGUUUAAAGGGCGCGUAGGCGGCUUUGUAAGUCGGGGGUGAAAGCCUGUGGCUCAACCACAGAAUUGCCUUCGAUACUGCAUGGCUUGAGACCGGAAGAGGUAAGUGGAACUGCGAGUGUAGAGGUGAAAUUCGUAGAUAUUCGCAAGAACACCAGUGGCGAAGGCGGCUUACUGGUCCGGUUCUGACGCUGAGGCGCGAAAGCGUGGGGAGCAAACAGG
rnacentral:rRNA from 1 species